rnacentral:rRNA from 1 species
UACGUAGGUGGCAAGCGUUGUCCGGAAUUAUUGGGCGUAAAGCGCGCGCAGGCGGUCCUUUAAGUCUGAUGUGAAAGCCCACGGCUCAACCGUGGAGGGUCAUUGGAAACUGGGGGACUUGAGUACAGAAGAGAAGAGUGGAAUUCCACGGUGUAGCGGUGAAAUGCGUAGAGAUGUGGAGGAACACCAGUGGCGAAGGCGACUCUUUGGUCUGUAACUGACGGCUGAGGCGCGAAAGGCCGUGGGGAGCAAACAGG